GAAGAUGAUUCGGAGGUUAGCAUUAGGGUACUUUCCCAGUGGAGAAACCCUAUACAAAAGGAGCUCCAACGGCGAAUUGUUGAGAUGUGUGGAUGCAAAAGAGGCGAAGAGAAUCCUUUUUGAGACUCAUGAGGGAAAUUGUGCAACCCAUGCCAAUGGGCACAUGAUGGCUAAGCAAAUCAUGCGACGGGGAUAUUUUUGGACUACAAUGGAAAAGGACUGCAUCGAAUAUUUCCGGAAAUGCCAUAAGUGUCAGAUCUACGCAGAUCCAAUAAAUGUUCCGCCUCACAAAUUGUUCAACCUAGCCUCACCAUGGCCUUUCGCAAUG
rnacentral:misc_RNA from 1 species